rnacentral:rRNA from 1 species
AUUGAACGCUGGCGGCAGGCCUAACACAUGCAAGUCGAGCGGAUGAAGGGAGCUUGCUCCUGGAUUCAGCGGCGGACGGGUGAGUAAUGCCUAGGAAUCUGCCUGGUAGUGGGGGAUAACGUCCGGAAACGGGCGCUAAUACCGCAUACGUCCUGAGGGAGAAAGUGGGGGAUCUUCGGACCUCACGCUAUCAGAUGAGCCUAGGUCGGAUUAGCUAGUUGGUGGGGUAAAGGCCUACCAAGGCGACGAUCCGUAACUGGUCUGAGAGGAUGAUCAGUCACACUGGAACUGAGACACGGUCCAGACUCCUACGGGAGGCAGCAGUGGGGAAUAUUGGACAAUGGGCGAAAGCCUGGUCCAGCCAUGCCGCGUGUGUGAAGAAGGUCUUCGGAUUGUAAAGCACUUUAAGUUGGGAGGAAGGGCAGUAAGUUAAUACCUUGCUGGUUUGACGUUACCAACAGAAUAAGCACCGGCUAACUUCGUG